rnacentral:lncRNA from 1 species
GGUUCUUAUUUGAAAUAUCUUCCCGCACCUCCGCCUCUAGUGGUUUCGGGAGUUCGUCUGCCUCAGCCCCCCAGAACCCCCACACUGUAGACGAACCCACAUCUGGGGCUGGGCCUCGCCCGAUUUUUGCACCGGGUGCUAUUCCCUGUUCUCUGACUUCGAAUGAACUCCUAUUGAUAAGGGUUCAGUAUGGAGUUCUUCUGAAGUACAAUCUGGAGCUCUCUGGUCCUGCC